GACGAACGCUGGCGGCGUGCCUAAUACAUGCAAGUCGAGCGAGCUUGCCUAGAUGAUUUUAGUGCUUGCACUAAAUGAAACUAGAUACAAGCGAGCGGCGGACGGGUGAGUAACACGUGGGUAACCUGCCCAAGAGACUGGGAUAACACCUGGAAACAGAUGCUAAUACCGGAUAACAACACUAGACGCAUGUCUAGAGUUUGAAAGAUGGUUCUGCUAUCACUCUUGGAUGGACCUGCGGUGCAUUAGCUAGUUGGUAAGGUAACGGCUUACCAAGGCAAAGAUGCAUAGCGGAGUUGAGAGACUGAUCGGCCACAUUGGGACUGAGAAACGGCCCAAACUCCUACGGGAGGCAGCAGUAGGGAAUCUUCCACAAUGGACGAAAGUCUGAUGGAGCAACGCCGCGUGAGUGAAGAAGGGUUUCGGCUCGUAAAGCUCUGUUGGUAGUGAAGAAAGAUAGAGGUAGUAACUGGCCUUUAUUUGACGGUAAUUGCUUAGAAAGUCACGGCUAACUACGUGCCAGCCGCCGCUGUAACAC
rnacentral:rRNA from 1 species